UUCUUGGUGGUCCAGUGGUUAAGACUCUGCAGUCCCAAUGCAGGGGGCCAGGUUCGAUCCUUGGUCAGGGAA
rnacentral:tRNA from 1 species